rnacentral:rRNA from 1 species
CCUACGUGUGGCUGCAGUGAGGACUAUUGGUCAAUGGGCGGGAGCCUGAACCAGCCAAGUCGCGUGAGGGACGACGGUCCUAUGGAUUGUAAACCUCUUUUGUCGGGGAACAAAGGCGCCCACGGGUGGGCGGAUGAGUGUACCCGAAGAAAAAGCAUCGGCUAACUCCUUGCCAGCAGCCGCGGUAAUACGGAGGAUGCGAGCGUUAUCCGGCUUUAUUGGGUUUAAAGGGUGCGUAGGCGGACGGUCAAGUCAGCGGUAAAAAUGCGGUGCGCAACGCCGUACAGCCGUUGAAACGGGCAGUCUUGAGUGGGCGAGAAGUAUGCGGAAUGCGUGGUGUAGCGGAGAAAUGCAUAGAUAUCACGCAGAACACCGAUUGCGAAGGCAGCAUACCGGCGCCCUACUGACGCUGAGGCACGAAAGCGUGGGUAUCGAACAGGAUUAGAUACCCUUGGAGUC